rnacentral:snRNA from 1 species
AUCGAUCCUUUAGACCUUCGGA